UUGUGUUGCAAAUUUAGUGCAAAAAUUUAACUGUUGUGAGGGAGGACCAUAUGCAAUUAUAUAUACUAAAAAUAAUAAUUUGAUAUUCUACAAGUUCUAUUCUUGUAUGCACUUAAAUGACUGCUUUUUCUGAGUUGAAUUUGAUGGGUUUUAUAUCAAUUUUGUGGAAGAUUUUAUGGCUGAAGACAAUAUAGAACAUGCCAAUUGAACUGAUUUUUGUUCAUAUUUUGAUUUGCUCCUCAUAUACCUUUGUGUUCUACAUUUAUUGUAAACUUUUGUGAGGAAGGACCAUAUAUAUAUACAAUGUUUUCAAAAUAAUGAUUUUUGUUGAUUUGAAAUUUACUCCUUGCUCAUUGCUUUUUCGACAUUUCAGGUUAAAAUGUUUGGUAAAGUCAGUACGGAUCAUUAGACAAAAAAUUGUUUUGUUAACCGGUUAAUUUUUACAUUUUGUGCAUAUUUUUGCGGGAGAGGAUGGUAUGCAACCGAAUAAAUGAUUUUUCAAAGUUUAACUUUUUGUUUUUAGGUGUUUUGUGUUUGUUUAAGUUUGGCUUUUUGAUAUUGUUCAGGUUGUAUUGUUGUAUAAGCAUUUAGGGAAAAGACAAUGUUUAAAAUGCGUAAAGAACUUAUUUCAUAGAUCUGUGCUUACUGUUGCAAGCCUUUCUUUUCGACACUUCAGAUUAAAAUAUUGAAGGUUUUCAACAUAAUCACAUAAUAAGAUGAAUACACAUUUGAGAUAUGUGUUAUUUCUGACAUUAUUAUUAUUGUUGUCGUAACUGUCUGGGUUGUGACUGUCAAUGUUGUAACUUUCUAGUAACUAGAAAAAUGCAUGUCUAAUAUGUUAAAUUUUCUGACGUUAUCGCGCAACGUCAAUAAUACUACUUUAACGUCAAUAUCAUUUAUUAAAUUAAUGAAGCCAUUGCAAUGCACCUAGAAUUUUGAGGCCAAAAAACUUGGAAACGAGGUGGUGACGUCAAUGAUUUUUCACCGCGUGGGUAACUAGGGACCACCUGGGACCAAUUUCGGUAAGUUUCCCAAACCUGGUUCCUUGAAUCCGUUUCGGAAUGGACAGGUUGAUGACGUCAUCACAAAACCCACAAACACCAAUAACUCUGCAACCGUUUGUCAAAAGUUCAUGUUCCUAUACAUUUUCUUCAUCAGCGUUUUAAGAUCUAUACGAGAAAGGCAACAGGGUUAGAAAUUUCUUAAAAAUUUUUUGGAGGGUUUGACGGGACUUUGAUGACGUCAGUAAAAUUUUUAAACCCUUAUAUCUCCUUAGGCGUUCCUCGAAAACAUAUUAUUCUGUACAUUAUUUUGAUCAGCGCUUUAAGCUCUACACAAUAGAGGCAACGUAAAAACAAGGUUCUAAUUUUUUUACAGAUGGGUUGCUGACGUCAUCAAAAUUCAUAUGACGCUUGUUUUUCAAUUUUAUCCUGCCUUAGUGGAUUUUUCCACGGGCUUUAUCGACUAGUCUCUUUAAUAAUACGCUAAGUGUGUCUGUGUGUCUGUGACAGGCAAAGUUGAUAUCGUCAUUUUCCUUUGAUGUUGCCGAAAAAAAUCUUUGAUGUUGCCGAAAAAAAUAUGUCUUCUUUGUCGUGAAAAGCCGCGAGUUUUGUGUGGUUUGUUAAAUGAAGUUCUAGCACAAAGUAACGGAAAUUGUGUUUGCAAAAAAGAUGGCUGUCCUUUUUAAGCAUUUGUCUUCCCUUGCCUUCAAAAUAAAUCUUUACCAGAGCAUUUAAAAAGGAGCAUGGUAUAUAAAUGAAGUAUAGAAAGGUUUCUCUAUUUCGAAGUUCAAUUAAACUUGAAGACAAAAGUGGCUGCAACAAAAAUAUUGAAGAUGUGUCGGUGGUGUUGAAUCACGAGUCGUAUCUUGAAGCUUACGACGUGCGAGCAGAGAACCACUUCCCUUGUCUAAAGGAAACUAGCUUACAAAUAGAAAGACACAGAAUCGUGAUCAAGUACUCAAGACUUUAUGUGGGCAGCACAAUUUGUACACUGGUGAAAUAUCGAUACAGUGGCAAACGAUUCACUGGGUCCAAAAAGGUGUCUGUUUUUGUCGAUGUCUUUUAUACUGGGUUUAAUAACAACGUCUCUAGCAGUAGUCACGCCUGGGAUGUAUAUAGCACGUACGUGUCCAAGGAUGUUCCAGGAUUUUAUCUCUGGGAUACUGAUUUAACAUAUUGCGUUAGACAACAUCCGGACGAUAUAAUGAUGAUGCAGAAAGAAGCUUUAUGUACACUGUUUAAGCAAACCCCAUACAAUUUAGUAUCUAUCUACGGCUUCUGCGCGAACAAAAACUCGAGCACUAUUAUCACGAGUAAAACUUGUGGCAAAGAAAAAAUUUUAUCUGUUGGAUCAUCUUCACUCCGUUGGUUUGAUGACCAAACUUACAUUCACGUUCCCCCGUCCAGUGAACAGAAAACACCAGUAGGAUCUACACAAGACAAUGUCGGCUUCAAGAAAAAAUACAAAGAUAGUUUUGGAUUUAAAGUUUCAAAGGAUACUGCUACUGAUAAAAAUACAGACAUCGAUGACGUCACUAUCUUUUUAUAUGACGAUGAUUUUACUGCGUGUUGUUAUCUCAAUGACAGAGAACAUAGUUGUGUGGUUUACAACAAAGCAGCCAAUCGUGUUACUCGUCUACCUCCUUUGUUUGCGAGUGUUCUUGGGUACGAUGCGUUAAGCAAAACUACUAUUGGUAAAGACACCCAAGGUCGUUACGUGGGAUACCGUCCGAAAGCAAAGCACAGAUUCUUCUAUGUCUCGCAGAAACAUUGGUUGAAGUUAAAGGGCAAAGAAAGUACAGUGUUGUCAAAAGCCUACAAUCGAAGUGUUUUAGCUGAAAGCAAUGCUGAGAAUGAGUUUGAAGUGGGCAGCGAUCUUUACACUGUGACACCACUUGGUUUAUACGAGAUGACACGUCAAACGCAUGUUAUUUUAUGGCUCGUUGAUCAAGAUAACUGCGCUGCUGUAGGUAAAUAACUUCUCAUGUCGUUGUAUCAUUCAAAACCUGACCCCACCAAUGUUUAAAUGCACCAGUACCUUUCCUGAGAUCGGACCUCUUUCAGACCUAUAUAUCUUGCCUAAAAAAAACCCAAGGACAGAAGGUCACACUUUGAAAUUAUACUUCAUGCAAUGAUGAACUGAGAAAACACUUCCUGUAAUAAUACAGUUUAAUUGCGGUUUUGCGGAGCAAAACCCUGGUUGGAUCAUCAGAACUAUUGGCGUUUCAAAGUUGUGAAGCAAUAAAAGCUUACUGCCAUGCUGCCACCACUGGAACAUACUGGAUCGGAACGACGCAAACAGAAUGCAACUUUAAAUAGACAUUUACACGAUUUUAUUUAUUGUUUAUAGAUGAAAACAAAAAACCUUGAACUCUUGCUAAUUGCAAAAAAUACGUUUAGCUGUACGGAUUUUCGCCAAAUAUUGCGUAUUAUCUUCACGAAUUAAAACAAACGGCAUGUCUUUGUACCACGUACGAGAUCUUUGUAACAACAAGAAAAGCGUGAGGCUAAAAUACAUAACAGUAAUGAUUGACAACUAAACAAGACGCCAUUACUAUCAUCAAUGCAAAGAAAAAUGUUUAGAACCAUUAAUCUGUAGGCGUUCCAGUAGUGCAUUAAUUUUGCAAAUUGUGUAUAUAAUUUAGAGAGAGACUUUUCUCGAAAUUUGCGGCUAGUCAUCACGAAAUAUACUUUUGAGGUAGAGGAGAUUUAUGGCGCAUUUUUAUAUGUAAUUUUUGACACCAAAAAAGAAAAUACAUUAGCACAUAAUGUUGAA